GACGAACGCUGGCGGCGUGCCUAAUACAUGCAAGUAGAACGCUGAAGGAGGAGCUUGCUUCUCUGGAUGAGUUGCGAACGGGUGAGUAACGCGUAGGUAACCUGCCUGGUAGCGGGGGAUAACUAUUGGAAACGAUAGCUAAUACCGCAUAAGAGUAGAUGUUGCAUGACAUUUGCUUAAAAGGUGCAAUUGCAUCACUACCAGAUGGACCUGCGUUGUAUUAGCUAGUUGGUGGGGUAAAGGCUUACCAACGCGACGAUACAUAGCCGACCUGCGAGGGUGAUCGGCCACACUGGGACUGAGACACGGCCCAGACUCCUACGGGAGGGAGCAGUAGGGAAUCUUCGGCAAUGGACGGAAGUCUGACCGAGCAACGCCGCGUGAGUGAAGAAGGUUUUCGGAUCGUAAAGCUCUGUUGUAAGAGAAGAACGAGUGUGAGAGUGGAAAGUUCACACUGUGACGGUAUCUUACCAGAAAGGGACGGCUAACUACGUG
rnacentral:rRNA from 1 species